GAUGAACGCUGGCGGCGUGCUUAACACAUGCAAGUCGAACGAAGCACUUUAUUUGAUUUCCUUCGGGACUGAUUAUUUUGUGACUGAGUGGCGGACGGGUGAGUAACGCGUGGGUAACCUGCCUUGUACAGGGGGAUAACAGCUGGAAACGGCUGCUAAUACCGCAUAAGCGCCCGGCAUCGCCUGAUGCAGUGUGACAAACUCCGGUGGUAUAAGAUGGACCCGCGUUGGAUUAGCUAGUUGGUGAGGUAACGGCCCACCAAGGCGACGAUCCAUACCCGACCUGAGAGGGUGACCGGACACAUUGGGACUGAGACACGGCCCAAACUCCUACGGGAGGCAGCAGUGGGGAAUAUUGCACAAUGGGCGAAAGCCUGAUGCAGCGACGCCGCGUGAGCGAAGAAGUAUUUAGGUAUGUAAAGCUCUAUCAGCAGGGAAGAUAAUGACGGUACCUGACUAAGAAGCACCGGCUAACUACGUG
rnacentral:rRNA from 1 species